CACACUUUAGGCGUCCAUUAUUUGAAGCUCCUGAUUUUACAUGGUCGAUGAAAUGGAGCACCUUUGGGGAUGGAUUCCAUUAUUUUUUCUACACUCUAAAGAAGGGCACAAGAUCAUUGAAUAAUUAUCAACCUAGUGAAAGGCUAAACCUUCCAUCAAUCUGCUUGUAUCAAGAUGAAUUGGAAGGUGAAGAUUUCUUAUUCAGGACCAACAUUGUUGAACUGGAGGACAACUAAAAAGAUUACAUGGAUGAUAGCAUUAGCGAGGCCGAUUGCGACUAUUAUUCGCACAACUCCAGCGAUGACGACGAUGACCUUGAAUUUGACGAUAUUAAAACCGAUCAUCAAUGUCAUUCUCUCCCUUCAUGUUAUUACAAGCGACUCUCUAUUAGCUGCACAGUGGGAUGUUUUACAAAGAGUGAUGGACUUAUUGAUGGUGGGAGUACACCAUGCUCGUACUUUACUUAUUCAUUACCAUUGGGAUGUUGAUAAGCUAGUCACGGUGUUUGUUGAGAAGGGCAAAGAUCACUUGUUUGCGGAAGCUGGAGUUAAAAUGGUUAAAUGCCCUGAUCUUGGCACCUACUUAUCGCCUUCUUCAACUCUCUUCUGUAAUGUUUGCAUGGAGGAUGUUCGGUACAAUGAAACAACUCAAAUGGAUUGCCAACAUACAUUUUGCAACAAUUGCUGGACAGAGCAUUUUAUUAUGCAGAUAAGGGAGGGUCAUAGCAGGCGAAUUAAGUGCAUGUCACACAAAUGCAAUACAAUAUGUGAUGAAUCUGUCAUACGAAACCUAGUAAGCAAGAGAGAUCAAGAUCUAGCAAAGAAAUUUGAUCGAUUUCUACUAGAAUCAUACAUUGAGGAGAAUAAAUUGGUGAAAUGGUGCCCGAGUGUUCCUCAUUGUGGAAAUGCUAUACGUGUUGAGGGUGAUGUGCUAUGCGAGGUGGGAUGUACAUGUGGUUUACAGUUUUGUUUUAGCUGUUUAUCAGAAGCACACUCUCCUUGUUCAUGUUUGAUGUGGGAAUUGUGGACAAAGAAGUGGAAAGAUGAAUCGAUGAACCUAAAUUGGAUUAAGAUCAAUACGAAGAACUGUCCAUCAUGUCAUAAGCCUGUGGAGAAGAAUGGAGGCUGCAAUAUUGUUAGAUGUUUGUGUGGAAAGCCUUUCUGUUGGGUGUGUAUGCAAGCAAGGAGCUACAACCAUGCCUGUGGGCGUUAUGUAGACCCAGACGAUUCAGUUGAGCUUAGAAGAAAGACCCUCUACCGAUAUAGGCACUAUUAUGAACGGUUCAAAGCACAUAGAGAUUCCUUAAAUCUUGAGACUGAACUAGAGAAAACAGUAAGAAUGAAGAUAUCCUUUUGUGAAGAGGAGACAGGGCUUCGAGAGUUUAACUGGUUGGAGAAAGGAAUGUGUGUAUUAUUCAGGUCAAGACGGGCUCUAUCAUACUCGUAUGCCUUUGCCUUUUACAUGUUUGGAGAUGAAUUAUUCAAGAACGACCUGAGUAAACGAGAGAAAAAGAUUAAGCAGAAUCUAUUCGAGGAUCAGCAACAGCAAUUCGAGGCUAAUGUUGAGAAACUCUCAAGGUUAAUAGAAGAGCCAUUAGAUAAGUACUCUGUGGAUGAAGAAGUCAAGGCUAUAAGAUCAAAAGUGAUUAUUUUGUCUAAUGUUGUUGGCAAGUGCUGCAAGAGUAUGUAUGAUUGCAUUGAAAAUGAUUUACUAGGCUGCCUUCGUUGCAAUAUUCAUAAUAUCGCGCCUUACAGAUCAGAUGGAGUUGAGAAGGCGUCUGAGUUCUCUGCUAGCCUGUCUAACAUGGGCAGUCAAGGCAUACCAUCAGAGGAAGAGAUAAAUGGGUGGAUGGUGGAAAUCGACGAAUCUUCAAAAUUUGAUAGAUCGAAUAAAAGGUCGAGGGUUAGUUGAUGCAUGCUACAUUUGGCAAUGGCUGUACAGUGUUGUGGCAGAUUCAGAGAUUUCUUGUGAUGAAUUCAUCCAAAGAGUUUCUUGAUUUAUGAUUGAUAAUAAAGAUUCUGCUACAAUUAAAGAUACUGAUGAUUCGGGUGUUGUGAAUGAUGGUGGCACUGAAGUUUUGCAGCAAGCUUCUGGAAAUACUGCUGCUGAUUCUGUUGUUGAUGGGGCUGAAGUUUUGGAUAAUGCUUCUGUUACUGAGCUUAAUGACCAAGAAUCCAAGAUGAUGCUACAACUCUCUCUUCUAUACCUCCUGCUAAACAAUUGUACUUAUUGGCUAAAGAUACUUGUCACUCAGUGAAGAAUAAGAAUGAAGAUGCUGAGGUUAAGACACAAGCUGUUGAAGAUGCCGAGGUUAAGGCAAAAGCUUUGGUAGUCAAGAGUACUGAUAAACAUUUUGAGGGAAAAGUAGGUGUUAAGAAGAGAAGUAGGAAUUUGGUUAAAGAUGAAGAUGUGGAUGUAAAACCAAAGGCUAGGAAAGCAAAAACAUCAACAACUCUCUCUGAAUCUGUUAUUGAGUUGAAACCUUCUACUAGAGCUUCUACAUUAAAAGAAGGCGCAGAUGCUGAAGUUGUUGAAGUUGUUGAUAUUGAAAAAGGGGUUUCUGAUGUUACUGUUCGUUGUAGACCUUCUGGUGUAGCUGAAUUAAUGAAAUUGAUAGCUGAAAAUAAAAAACAAAGACGAGCUGUUUAUGAUAUUGGUUUUGGGAGCUUGUUUUCGAUUAAA